GGGGUGACUAGUGACAGAGAGAGGGAGGGAAGGGGUGACUAGUGACAGAGUGAGGGAGGGAAGGGGUGACUAGUGACAGAGUGAGGGAUGGGGUGACUAGUGACAGUCACCACCUCCUUCAUUCUGUCACCAGUCAUCCCCUCAUUCUGUCACUAGUCACCCCUUCCUUCUCUCAUUCUGCCACUAGUCACCCCUUCCCUCACUCUGUCACCUGUCACACCCUCACUCUGUCACUAGUCACCCCC
rnacentral:sRNA from 1 species